GUAUUUUAAUUUUUGUCGGAAGCCGCCAACGUGGCUGGGGAAACCCAGCCAGAUGGGCGGGGUACAAAUAAAUUAUUAUUAUUAUUAUUAUUAUUAUUAUUAUUAUUACUACAACAACAAUUUUAUUAUUUAUACCCUGCCCAUCUGGCUAGGUUCCCCCAGCCACUCUGGGUGGUUCCCAACAGAGGACUAAAAACAGAAUA